rnacentral:lncRNA from 1 species
UUUUUUUUUUUUUUGGUCGUUGAUGUUUUAUUUAGACAAAUAAAAAAUAACCAACUUGCAGGUUAUUGAUGUUAAUUUUAAACAAAUUAAUUAAACAACGAUCAAUCUUUUUAUAUACUAGAAUCUCAAUAGAUUUUAAUCUAUUACAAUAUUUUUGUAGAUUAUGAGUCCGCUUGGAAUUAUUUUUGUGAGGUUCAAAAGUGAUUUUGAAAAGUUAAGAAUUAAUUUUGGUAUUUGGUAAAUUUUUUUAAAAAUAUUUUUGAAAAAAAUUACACAAUUUUACAACAAAUUUUAAAAAACAAAACAUGAGUAGAUUUUCAAAUUUUAAUUUUGAGAAUCCAUCCUACACAGCUACACUUAUUGCAAUUUCAUAUAUAUUCUAAUUUCAUAUAUUUUAAAAAUCUAAAAUUAUCCUCAAAAUAAAAUCUAAAAGGAUUAAUAUUAUUACCAAUUAUAUUGAGAUAACAAAAUAAAAAAAGAUAAAAUAAUAAUAUUUAUUUUAGUUAUCAGUUAUCAUAGAAAUACAAUAAAUUGAUAUGUGUAAAAAAAUUAUAUAUUUAUAAAUGUGUAAAAAAUAAUAUUAUAUAUAUUUCAGUCAUUUAUAUAUUUACAACAAUUUAACAAUAAAAUUUACUAAAUAUAUAAAUGACUGUUUUUAAAAUUCAUAAUAUUUUUUAAAAUAAAUUUUACUAAACAUAUAACUGAUUCUUUCUUAACAUAACUAAAUGCAAUUAUUUUAAAAAGUACUACCCUAUAAGCAACAGUCAAAAAAAUCAUAUUAGUAUGAGAAAAUUUAAAGUAUUUAUGUGAUCCAACGGAGCAAAAAGUUUAUACUCAAAAUAAAAUAUAAUAGCAAAAAGAGGUAUUGAGUCCAAUUUUUAAACGUGAAUAUCGUUCUAAGUGUUCUUUCUCCUAUUUUCAAUAAUUCUAAAAAUAUGUUUCAAAUUUCUUUAAAAAAAAAAAUGCUAAACCAACAAAUUCACUCUUGAUCGUAAAGGAAACGAGGAAGGAUAAAAGGUAAAUUACCGACGAUACCCACAUUCUCAUAAAAUUCAUUAACGCAAUGACCGCCUGACCGACGACUCUAGGGGUACAUUUGUCCUGAAGGUGCUUGAUGUACGAAUACAAAUAAUUUUUUUUAAAAUUAAUUCUCUCUCUUCUGAGAUCGUUUUCAAGGGUUUUAAUGCUCUGCGGUCUGCAAUUCUGUUUGUCUUAAAGGUGCGUCUUCACUUUCUGAUUCUCUUCUCUGCUUGUUUUUCUGAUCUGGGUUUAACUGAUAAAUGCAUAACGUUAGAUUAUUUUGAAGAAUUCAAGGAAGAAAUGAUUAAACAUCUCUUCUUUUUGUCUUUUCAAUGCUGUAAUUAAUGAAACCAUUGAAAUACUUUUACUUCGUAUUUUGGCUCUCUGGGGUUGACUAGAAGAUGAAUUUUAUGUAUCUGUGAGACCCAUUUGAGCUUUUGUAUACAUGUUGAAUCAUCAUCUAUAUUCUUUUCUUUUUUUUUAAUUAAAAAACCUCGAUUUUUCUUUGUUAACUAUCUUUGCAAUUGAUACUUGAUGUUUCGUAAUUUUGCAAGGCACAUCAUUGGCUUUUCUUUUAAAUUGUUUAAAUUUUUACCUCUUAUCGUGUUAAAUACUAUGGGACAGUUGAAGAAUAAUUGCUUUGAAUGACAAUAAAGUUGAAGAAAUGCUUGGAUUCUGUGUUUUGGAUUUAGAACAGUAUGAUUAUUGUUAUAUACUUUACUAAUUCGAUAGGAAUCCUUCAUUACAAUAGGAUUUAGGUUUUCUUUCACUAAAAAGCAAACUGGGAUAAAACACAAUGACCUUCCUCGUAGUAAAUCUCACAAUAUAAGCACUUCAAUUGUUGUGGGGAAUUCAUGAUUGUACUAUACCCACCCAAAUCUUUAAUGUUGCACAGCAAUCUUACCGUGCCUUGUUCUUUUGUCAAAAAAUGCUCAAUAGAUCGUGAUGGUGAAAGCAUACACACAAGAGCACAUUUACAAGCACCCGUGGGAGCGUGUUACUUCUGCAUCUUGGCGCAAGUUUGCUGACCCUGAGAACAAGCGCACGUUAUCCCAUAUACUUGAAGUGGACACUUUGAACCACAAGCUCGAUCCUCUAUCUGGCAAGCUAUACACAACGCGUGCACUCACUGUCCAUGCCCCUGGACCUUGGUUUGUUCGCAAAAUUAUUGGUCAAGAUAUAUGUCACUGUGUUGAAUCAACGGUUGUUGAUGCCCAGUCAAAGUCAAUGCAGCUCACUACUCGCAAUGUUAGUCUAAAAAAGUAUAUAGAAGUGGAGGAGAAGAUCCGAUACGAACCCCAUCCUGAUAAUCCAACUGGUUGGACAGUUUGUAGACAAGAGACAAGUAUAAGGAUUAAGCCAUUAUCGGCACUGGCAUCAAUGGCAGAGAAGGUGGAGCUACUAUGUGCAGAAAAGUUCAUGCAGAAUAGUGUCAAGGGUAGAGAAGUAAUGGAGAGGAUCUGUAAGUACCUUGAAGCUGAAUCUCGUGGAAUUUCUCUCUAGUUUCUAGUUUUUGAGUUCAAUUUCUGAUUUUUAUAGUACUUGGAGCAAAGGGCUUUUAAGUCCUUCUAGAGUAGGAAAAACUAAUAAUGUAUAAGUAUAAAACUAAGAUUGUUAUACUUUAACUCCUGAAAGGAGUUGAUUCAAAUUUUGAUCUAGUUCAAAUGUAAUUUCAGGACGUUAUGCACUCGCUUUUCAUUGCAAGACUGUUUUUUAAAAUUGUUUCGUGGAUUUUUGUAAGUAGAUGGGCAUAUUUUAGUAAUAUUUUGCUCAAAUGCUACAGGCAUACAAUUUUGAUUACUGCAAAUUUUAUACAGCACUUUCUCUUUUAGCACUAUCUCCUCUGCAACGCAUGUCUCGUAUUGUGGAGAACCAUAUAUCCUUGUCCAUUGAAGAGUGUUGCAUUUCCUUCUCAGAUCAUUGCAUUAUUUUAAUUGGUUUAAGUAGAUUUCCUUCCGGCCACCUCUAGAAAUUGAAUUCUGCACUUAUUUUGGGAGAAUAUGCUAUGUCCUUUGGUGUCAUUCCUUGUCAAGAAAUUCGGAUCCCUUCUACGUUGCAGGUCCUUUGCUGGUUUACCCAUAUAUGUUAAGAUAUAUACCGGUGUUCAUUUUAUUAUUUCAAACCUUACAGAACCAAUCUAGUUAUACCACUUUAUGUUGAAUUUACAAAUUGCAGCAUUAUUAUUGAAGACACCAUUAUCGACUGAUUGUAAUGAGAAUCACUUUGAAGUCUAUCUGAAGGUCUUCGCAGUUUGUUGAACAUGUUAAACUGGAGAUUUGAGUGCAGCACAUAGGAACAAGGAAGUCAAAACCUGACGGUAGAUUUGUUUAUCUUACAAAAAGUCCCCAUUCGGCCAAGCUGGUUGGUAAUUUUGGAAGGACUGUUGGAUAGGGGAGGUUACUCCUGGCGGUCAUUUCCCUCAGGUUACAUGACUUCUUUUACAGAAUUAUUGUUCCAUACUAGUAUGGCUAAAUGUUCUGCUUGAAAAUCAUUCAAGCAGACUCCUAGGGCAAUGGAGUUGGGAUUUCAAGUUCUUAAGUAAUUGGAAUGAUGGAGGUUCUCAACCGUGCACUGGAAUGCUAGGACCUUACAAAGGGUCGAAUUUAAUGAUUCAGAUCUGCAUUUUUAAAAAACUAGGGUUUUUUUCUUCGGACCAAGUCUCUCUCUCUCAAAUUUCUUUUACCAUACGACACUUUUUAAAAUUUACAGUUUGAAGGAAGUCAACGAUGCAUGAAAAUCGAAACCAAUAAAAAUCACCACACAUGAGAAAUAAAGCCAAUACAAACCAUAAUUAAAAAUUUACAGAGGCUAAGCGCAAGAAUUGUCCAUGUAUGUUUUCCACAUCAUAUGGAAAUAGCACAACCAUCUUUUUUCUGAAUUUUUUUUUUAAGCAGAAACUAAUAAAGUGAAAUGCCAUAUGAAACAUAAUGACAAAUUGGAAAGCUAUCCAAAAGUCCAUAAAACCAGAGCACAGAUUCACUCUUAAACACUGAAGCCAACAUAUAAGUUCUCGCCAACACACGACAUAGAGUUCUUCAUACUGCAGAGAUGUCCUAUAACUGAUUAUGGGCCCCCAGCAUAUAUAACAUUAAAGGACACCUGAUAAGAUACGUGGCCUUCUCAGAAGAAGCCUCUAACAGAUGAGCAAGAUCAUCAUUCUUUGAUUAUUGAAACCUCAUCCCAUUGGAUCUAGAUUUUAUCUAGCUUCUCAGCCUUGAUCACAGGGUUUGCUUUAAUUAUAGCAUCCCUAGCAGCAGUGCGGUAGUCAAAGGGGCAGUUAUGUUUGUCCGAAUAGCGAUGUGACGCACAGUAUAAGUUACCACAGCGACAUUUGAAUCCUGUUAAACCAACACGCUUCUUGCAACUGCUGCACCGGCUGGGACCCUCCUUCGGCUUUGCCUCCACACUCUCGCUCAAUUCUGAAGCACAUGAUAGCUGCACAGAGAUGAUUUUUGGCUCCACUGAACUAGCUUGCACAUCAACAGUGGCAGCAGCAACAGAUUCACUUCCAUUGCUGCUUGACGUUUCAUUCACAAUGCUUCCAAUAGAUGAAGCAGCAAGCUUAGCUUGAUCCUGUUUCAGCAUUAUAUCCUUGUAGCAUUUGGAACACAUAUUCAUAGUAGCCACACUUCCAAAGAAACCACAAUUGUUGAUGCACAAGAUAGGGCCCUCAGGAGGAGCUUGGCAUCCAGUCUCAUCAUGGUCCAUGUUUUCACCACCCCUGCACCAAUACAAUUGAAAAACUUGAGAUCUUAGAAAGAAA